rnacentral:rRNA from 1 species
AAUCUUGCGCAAUGGAGGGAACUCUGACGCAGCGACGCCGCGUGAACGAUGAAGGUCNNNGGAUCNUCAAGUUCUGUCCUCAGNGACNAAGGUCACUUAACGUGACUUGACGGUACCUGUGGAGGAAGCCCCGGCUAACUACGUGCCAGCAGCCGCGGUAAUACGUAGGGGGCAAGCGUUGUCCGGAAUUAUUGGGCGUAAAGGGUGCGUAGGCGGCCUUUUAAGUCAGAUGUGAAAGACCACGGCUUAACUGUGGGGCUGCAUUUGAAACUAGAAGGCUUGAGUUUCGGAGAGGGUAGUGGAAUUCCUAGUGUAGCGGUGAAAUGCGUAGAUAUUAGGAGGAACACCAGUGGCGAAGGCGACUCUCUGGACUGCAACUGACGCUGAGGCACGAAAGCGUGGGUAGCGAACA